rnacentral:lncRNA from 1 species
UCUCGACACACUUCUGAUCUGCGACGGUGUGUAAUUCAACGCACAGAGGAAGCCUAAGUAAUCCACCGUCGUUAGAUCAUAAAUAAGUCCCGGAUUGAUCGCCGUCGUCGGCGACACGUGUCCUGCGCCAUGCUCAAACGGCGUUGAAGGUUUCCCCGUCGUGACGUCGAGUAUCGGUUUCCCGUCUUUGUAUGUUUUGUAAGCGGUGGUCAUGAGAGCCGAUCUGAUCGCCGCCGGGCUCCACUCCGGAUGCACGGACUUGAGAAGCGCAGCUAAACCGCUCACGUGAGGGCAAGACAUGGACGUUCCUGAGAUGAUGUUGAACUCCACGCGUCUAGCAUCGGAAGCUAGACCGGUAGGUCCCUUGGAUCCGGUCCAACCGGCAAGGAUAUUAACUCCCGGUGCGAUUAAAUCCGGUUUAAGAAUAUCGGGCGUGAUCGAAUUAGGUCCUCUCGAGCUAAACGCCGCAACAACCGGAGACAGCUGGACGUUAACAACGGUCCUUCGAAUCAAAACCGAAGCGGUUGGAUUCGGAUCGGUUAAGACGUAAUGUCGGAUAAUAUCACCGGCCUUCUCUCCCACGGCGGUGGCAGGUAACAAAUGAGCAUCCGCCACAAGCUCCUCUCCGUUAUCCGCCGUGUUAGCGAGAAUCAUCCCGAGUCCGCCGGCAGCCUUCACCACCUCUCCUUUCUGAACCCUAGCGUUCACUCCUCUAUCGCACAUCACGAUCUUCCCCUUCACUUUCUCCGGAAUCAAAGUCCCGGGCCCACAUAGAUUCCCAUUAGCCGCGUUACUAGCAUUCCCCGCGUAAACAAACGACAGCAUUUUAUCCGGAAGGGCGUCUCCUUUAAACAACGAAACGCCCGAGUAAUUCUUCCCGUUUCCGAGAACCGCAACCGCUGGAAAAUCGCGAUCUAUCGUACCCACACCAACGGUGGUGAUCCACGGAGCUACGUUCGAUAAAGUGGACGAGCUGGGACCAGAAUUACCGGCGGAGCAGGAGACUAAUAUCCCUCUCUCCAUCGCCGCAAACGCUCCGAUCGCGACGCUGUCUCUAUAAUAAUCCGACGUGCCACCGCCGAGAGACAUGGACAAAAUGUUAACGUUAUCGUUGAUAGCUUUAUCGAUCGCAGCUAAAAUAUCGGAGCUGAAACAACCGCCUUCCCAACAAACUUUGUAAACGGCCACGCUAGCGCGUCGCGCCAUCCCGCGGGCCGCCCCGCUAGCGAAUCCCAAAAGGCUAGCUCCUUCCACGACGGAUCCAGCUGCGGUUGAGGACGUGUGGGUCCCGUGGCCGUCGUCGUCUCUAGGAGAUCUUGAUUCUUUUGACUCGUCCACUGGUCCCAUCGUGGCUUCGUAGCCGCGGGCGAAGAAUCUAGCUCCGAUUAGUUUGCGGUUACACAGCGAAGCCGUGAAGUUAGUUCCAUCCUCGCAACCGCCUCUCCACGUGGAGGGGACCGGACCUAAUCCAACGUCGGAUAAGCUUUUGCUCUCCGGCCAAACUCCGGUGUCGAGGACCCCGACGACGACGUCGCUGGAGGAGCCGGUUUCGGGGAAGAGGUCCGCGUUGUGGACGUCGAGGCCGAGGAAGAGUGGAGUGCGAGUGGUGUGUAGCUCGUACCGGUGCUCCGGUAGUACCGAGAUGACACCUGGCAGAGUCAUGAGCGAGUCGGUUUCUUCGGGAGUUAGCCGAGUGGAGAAUCCGUGAAUGGCGUUGGCGUAAGUGUAUAGGAGCUGAGCAGAUUGUGAGGCGGAUCUGAGGGAGGAGUCGUACCAGAGAGAGUGGAGGUCGAAGCCCGACGGCAUCUGAGACUGCGCCAUGUGAACGAUGUAAGUUGCAUGUUGAGCUCCAUCCGACACGUGGCAGAAGCCCGGAUGGAGGACGAGGAGGAAAGUGAAGAAUGCAGCGGAGGAGAGAAACGAAGAAGAAGACAUGUCUUUCGCAAUCUAUGGUAUCGCUCUGAUUUGGAUGAAUAGUUUAUAUCUAUAUAUAGUAAGUAGGGAGAGACGGGAGAUGCUAGUGAGAACACACAAAGAGGUUUUAGAUGCUAGUAACCGCAAGCUUCUGACACUGUGUCACAACGUGCCGUUUCCCACAUCUCUUUGUAUCGGUUUUAUAUUCCCAAACCCGAACCAGAUCUCAACUCCUGCCGCAAAAGACAAAUCUAUAAAGCUAACUCCAAACCAUUCUCAGUUACAACUAACCAUUGAAUCCUUCUUCUAACCGGAAUUAAUUAUAUGAAUCAUCUGGAAACUAUAUUCUACAAGUAAGAAAAAUAUACAAUAUAUCCGACUACAGAUAUCAAAAGUUACUAAGUAACCAUUUUGUUCCAAGCAUAAUUAAAUUAUAAUUAUCCGUGGAUUCAAUUAUGACAGUUAUAUGAGCAGCAACAAGUAGAUAUAUUAAUUCGCGACAUGUGACCUUGAUUAUUAAUCAAACCUGCCUAACACAACUCUAAUCUGUUUCCUCACUUGGAGAUAACUUCCAAAUAACAAUAUGUGACAGAUAAAUCGGCAAUUAUUUUUAUUAAACCGACUAAUUAUUGUCUUAGCUCCGGUUCGCUUGAAUACGGUAUGGUCGUGUCCACACUUCCACAGUCCACUCCAAAAUUCCCCUAAAGAAGGUUGCGUUACUACCCCACAUUCAAUGGAUUCCAUUGGGGAGUGGAGUCAACAAUUUUGUCUUUACCUCGAACUAAGUGUAAAUACAAAAGAAUCUAGAUACUCGUGACUCUUUUAUGUUUGUAUAUGGACAACAGUACAAUAUACUCCUGUCCAUAUUAGACAUCAAAACGUCUUUAUGUCCACACUAUUUAGAGCCAAACGUCUGUAUGCAAUUCCUUCUACACCAAAACGUAUGUAACGGUCCGUGGAUGCCAUAAGAGUGCUUUGUUUCAUUUGGUUUAGCAAUUUACUCUUUGUUUUGCGUACAUUGAUUAUUUGAUUACGCGCAUAAUCAUGAUUUAUGUUUUGAAAACGUACAGAUACAUAAGGAACUACUUUUCAUACUAGAUAUGAAUGGGUUUGGAGAAAGACAUCAUCAACUAACCAAUGCUUUUGAGUUUUGACGGUUGGGAUCCAAAUAAUGUGUGUGGCAAUUAUCGAGACUUUGGUUCGUAUGGUACGACAUGAAGUAACGUGUCUUUACAUCAGAUCAGAGUUCGCGAAAACCAUAUCUAAAUAAUUAAGCUACAUUUUCAAAUGUUCAUAUUGUUAUUAUUUUUUUUAGUUUAUGUUUUAUUUUUUAUAAACGAGCAAAUAAGAACAUCAGAAAGCUGGCAGGCUGGUCUAUUUUAUCCGACUCUCAGUAAUAAUGCCACGAUGAGGUAUUGAAUAUUGUCCACGUCCCUGAUUGAUUUCAUAUAGUAUUAAAUUUUGGGAAAAAAUAGUAUGUAUCAGGGUUUUAAUUGGACAAUUCUCUUUAUUUACUUGUUUUGGAACUUGGUUAAAAUUGAACUGUGUGCCUACAAAAUUCACCUCAUGAACACUUCUCUUCUUCUUUCAGUUAUACCUUAUAUAUUAAAACAGAAGUAAUGACUUCUCAUUCAUAUGUGAUUUUUAAAAAAAUAGACUAUCUACUAGAGUUGGUCAUAUUACAUUUUCAAUCAUUAGUAAUCUUUAUAUUAAAUAAAAGACAUUAUUAAAAAAUCUUUUCCAGAAACAUAUAAAUCUAUAAAUCUCUAUGCGCUUAGAUAUAACUCUCUAUAACUCACGAGAGUUUGUAGUUUUCAUGUAAAGUUUGACAUGAAGAGACGUCUUCCCAGAUUAUUUGUUUAAUCAUUGUGUUUUUGUAGUGUUGUGUUUGCAGACAAUAUUUACUAAAGAUUAUUUGAUUGUAAGCUCUGAACAUAUGUUAAUAAUUUACUGAACACAUUGAUUAGUGUGGAGAAGAUGAAGUUGGUCCAUUGUUAACGUCCAUUUAUGUUUUUCAAGUCAAUGAAAGCAGAAGACAAUAUUAAAAUAAUGGUCGCUUGAUACAAUUACGUUCAUUUAGUUGUCUUACCAUUUACUAAAGAUUAUUGGAUUGUAAGCUCUGAAACUAUGUUAAUAAUUUACUGAAGACAUUGAUGCAUUUGGAGAAGAUGAAGUUGGUCCGUUGUUAACGUCUAUAAGAAAUUUAGAAUAUCUACAUUCAGUUGCAACAAUAGAUAUCUACAUCUAUUCUGUUAACAAUUCAAAUUAAAUAAAGAUUAAUUCCUAUUCUGUUAUAACUAAUCAAAGCAAUAUCUACUUUCAAAGAAUAUAUAAUUUUCGUGAGUGUACUAACAUAUAUGAUAUUCUAAGCAUUUAUUUUAAAGCUUGGAGAUCAAGCUCACAUAUUUAUUGUUGCCCUGACCUUCUCAAUUUGUUUCCGAUAUUUUCGAAACAUAAUCACGUAAUUUUUUUUUUAUUUUACAUAACAACCUAAACAAUAUCAUCGAUCUAAUAUACUUGAUACCAGAUUUACAAUGAAUAUAUCAAUAUCUACAAUAUAGGUAACUAUAACAACCGAUUCUUAAUAUCCUAUAUCUUAUAUAUUAAAACAGAAAUCACAACCUUGAUUCAUGUGUGAUUUUUUAAAAAAUGGACCUAAUAUACCUAUUUCUAGAAAGUCAUGUUACAUUUAAUAUCUAAUCUUAUCAUUUAAAUUUUGGACCUACCAUAAAUUUUUAUUGGGCUAUCAAUAAUUGGAUUUACACAAUAGAUGAUCCAUUGGAUUUAUAGAUAGUAUAAAUUAAAUAUAUAUAAUUUAAUGUUGUAAUACUAUACCUCUAUAUGCUAAAUAUUUAAAUAUUUGUCGAUGUUAACUUUUAAAAUUAUAAAGAUUUUUUUAAAAUAACAAAAAUCAUAUUAUCUAACAAAUGAUUAAUCUUUACUACCUUAAACCAAUGAAAACAAAUUUUAAACUAUAUAGUUUAUUUUAAAAAUUAAACAAAAACUAAAUUUUUAAUUAUUUACUUGAUAAUAUAAAUCUAUGAAGCGAAAAGUUUAAUUUUUUAAAAACUUUCUAAAUUUGUGAAAUGUUACAAUAUCUUUGAAUAUGACAAUAAAACAAUAUUUAAUAACCUUUAUAUAUAUAGUUACGAUUUAAAUAAUAAAAUAAUAAUCCGAAAAUAUAUAUAUAUAUAUAUAUAUAUAAGAAGAUACAAAUACAUGUGAAAGUUUAAAACAAUCUAUUCAAUGAAAAAAUAUACAGUAAACUUAUUAAGUUUUAAAAAUUGAUAGACACAUAUAUAUAUUAUAAUAUAUCCCAAUUUAGAAUUGAAAACAAAAUAUUUAUAUAAAAAUAAAUAAAAACAAAAACCCGUCGUGAUCUAGUAAGAAGUUAAAAACUAACGCAAUCUAUCAACAAGUAAACUGAUGAUUUUAGCCUUUUAACCGUGAAAAGUUAUAUAGGCCGUUAAUCUAAGCCCUUUACAUGAUUAAGUUGGGCAAUUAUAGGCCCACGUAAUCCACAUUUUAUAAAAUAACUGGUACAGUAUUUGGCAAUUAUAGGCAUUUUAAUCAAAACUGAAAGACCACAUAGUGCAUUUGUGUUGCUGUAUACUAGUUUGACAAAGUACUAUUUAACAAGAUCAUCCCAUUUGCAGUAUUGACCACCGGCCAAUGCACGGUAGUAACGGUCUCUGCAAUAGACCGGUCUUCCAUCAGCAGCCUCAGCCGCGGCUGCUGCCAAGUCAUCAUCAGUGACAACAUCGGUGGGCAACCGAAGCAAUUGUUCUUUUCUGCAUAGUUUGUAUGAACGAAAAGAGAUGAGAGUGUGGCUCCAACCAAAAGUUCUGAUAGUUUGGUGUUACUGAUUGAUCUCUCUCCUUGUUACCUCAUAUUGAACUUGUUGUUGGUUCUUGAAAUGGAAACCUCUGGUUGGUUAUCCUUAGAUGAUCUUAGAGUGGUUUUAAAGAAAUCCUCGACUGGUGUUGCGAAAACGAAUAGGACGAAUGCUGAAACGAGCAAAGCUCCUGUUCCAAUUAAUGUCUGCUUCAGCAUCUUGAUUACUGGCUUCACCUGAAACUCACAAAUGUAGCCUCAGUUUCUUUUUUUGCCUUUCCAGCAUUUGAAUAAGAAACAUCAUUGUCUGCAUUCAUUUACCUUGUAAGAGCCUAACAGCCUGUCCCUAGCCAAUACCUGAGAAGAAACAAAGAUGGAAAUGCAUUUGGACCAUAGGAAUGUUCAUUUCUUGUAAUGAAAAGGGAAAAGACUUUGGAAAAGCAAACCUCUGGAGGCUUAACCCACAUUUGGCCAUCAUACCAUCCGCUCUCUUCGUAUGGAAUAACAGCAGAAAGUAGUCUAUCUCCAACAUAGCUCCAUCCCUAACAACAAACCAACCAACUUCAUUUAUAAUCCACUAAUAAAUUAAUGUUAAGCUGGGGAGAAGUCUAUUAAUUAAAUACCAGGUAAAUUCUCAAGACAAUCAACGAAACCAGGAAUAAAGUCCCUGUCCCUGCAGCUAUAACAAACCUCAAAGGUUCCUGCCAGGAAAAUUAUAUUGUAAUCUGUAAAAAAAAAAAAGAGUGUACAAACACAUAUCUUCUUCUUCUUCUUCAAAAGGGAGAGGGUCACUGACUCUGGAAGGAUUAAAGCUAGCAGCAGCGAUGGGAACACCAAGGACAGUGAAGGUGACCAACCAAAGACCACCGAGACGAAGAAAGAAUUUGCUUGGACCUAAUUCUCCCCAUGAGUACAACAUCCCUUCCUUCAAAGCCGAAUACUCAUUCACCUAAAUAACCCCAACAAAAGGGUAUUAUCAAAAAAAAAAUUAUUUCAUCUAUAUAUUUAUAGAGUUAGAAAAAAAUGAGACCCCGACGACGACGUCGCUGGAGGAGCCGGUUUCGGGGAAGAGGUCCGCGUUAUGGACAUCGAGGCCGAGGAAGAGUGGAGUGCGAGUGGUGUGUAGCUCGUACCGGUGCUCCGGUAGUACCAAGAUGACACCUGGCAGAGUCAUGAGCGAGUCGGCUUCUUCGGGAGUUAGCCGAGUCGAGAAUCCGUGAAUGGCGUUGGUGUAUGUGUAGAGGAGCUGAGCAGAUUGUGAGACGGAUCUGAGGGAGGAGUCGUACCAGAGAGAGUGGAGGUCGAAGCCCGACGGCAUCUGAGACUGCGCCAUGUGAACGAUGUAAGUUGCAUGUUGAGCUCCAUCCGACAUGUGGCAGAAGCCCUGAUGGAGGAGGAGGAGGAUAGUGAAGAAUGCAGCAGAGGAGAGAAACGAAGAAUAAGACAUAUUUUUCGGUAUCGCUCUGAAUUUGGACCAAUAGUUUAUUAUAUAUAGUAAGUAGAGAGACAGGAGAUGCUAGUGAGAACACACAAAGAGGUUUUCGAUUGCUAGUAACCGCAAGCUUCUGACACUGUGUCAUAACGUGCCGUUUCUCAGAUCUCUUUGUAUCGGUUUUAUAUUCCCAAACCCGAACCAGAUCUCAACUCCUGCCGCAAAAGACAAAUCUAUAAAGCUAACUCCAAACCAUCUAAAACUAUUUCGUCAAAAACGAAUUCCAACAAUUUCAUCUCUCUCCCAAUCAAAACAUUAAAGCCAAGACUUUGACUUAGUCAUCUUGGGCCGUCUCUUACUAUUUGAACUCUGCUGCUCUAGGCAUCGUGUAGUUGGAACCUACGUAUUCACGAGAAGGACUCAUAGCCCUGUUGGCAAAAAAGGGUAUAUAUCAUUUUCGUUCGAGCUAGGAACGUGCACUAUUGGAUAUUGAUAAUAGGUGAAAUGGGUUCAGCCCAAAUGGAUAAAUUUAUUGGAUAGUGAUCGGCCCAUUACAACUAUCUUGUGUUUAGACAUUCAGUUUACAUAGGCCCAUUAAUAAAUACAACAUCUAUGAGAUUAUGGUUCUGCUCUUAUCAAAAUUUGUUCAGAAAGGACUCCAGUACUCAAUUGUUUCAAAGAAUUCACCAUUCACGUCUUUCUUUAGAAUUCACAUUAACUUCCAGGUAGACUGGGCAAGCAACGUCUUUGGCUUUGGAAGAGCAAGAGGCACUGUUUGUAAUUCUCCCGUGACUAAUGAGCUCUGAUAGACGUCCUUGUAAGUACGUACGAUCUUGGCCCAGUUUUUAGGACCAUACUUUUUAAACCCCCCAAACAUUGUUUGGUCUUCAGCUGAAGAAAACAAACGGGCGUUUCUUAUCAGAGGCUUUGGAAUUUUUACUGGUCAUUGUCAUGUAACGGUCUUUGAUGUUAACUGAGUACAUCUUCGUAAGCACCUCUGAUACUGGACCAGACAUUUAGUGCCAAACUUCUUAAAACCCAUCAAGUAUUUGCUUGGUCUUCAGUUGGAGUUAAUUCUUCUCUUCCUCUCCUACUAUCGGUGGUCCAUCCCCCAAGGAAUUAAGGUUUCCUCACAGUGAGUUUCCACCCAAGGCCAAGAGCGCUGUCAUGGUCUUCAUCAAAGAUGGUGAUUGAGAAAGUCGUUGCUAUCACCAUGUGGAGGAUGAGAAUAAGGAAGAUUUGAUCCACAGAGCUCACACUUAAUCUUGUCGUGUGGAAAUUUAAAUAAGUAAAAAAAAUAAUUAAAUUUUCUACAUAUAUGUAAAGGGUUUAUAUGUGAAAUAAUUAAAAAAAAAUAGAUUUGUAGAAGGUAGAAAGAGAUAGGAAGAAAGGAUAAAGUUUUGAUUAGUUAAUGUAUUGUAGUUUUUUUUGGUCAUUUGACCUAAUUUUCCUUUAAAAAAUGUAGAGAGAAAUAAUAAGAUGUUAUUCUAUAUUGAACCCAACAAUAUAAAACCUAUUAUCUUAUACCGUCCUUCAAAAACCCAAUAACCAACCUAGGCCUAAACCAACCAAAUUCUAGUCAUGACUAUAAGUUCAUAUCUCAGAAAAUAACUUUUGCUUUAACCUAGUAAAUCAAAAUAGUUAUUAUACACUACCAGUUAGUGUGGAUUUGUAGAGACCCAGCUUAUCCUUGUGGCCGGAGAAUAUUUACUUUUUUGAGAUAGCAAAGAGAAAACAGAUAAAGCCCAAGAACACACUGCAUGCCAUUUUUGCUUUGAAACAAAGAGCUAUUACAAAGAAGGGCACUACAAGGUCCGUGACUUUAUUCUUUCCAUCAAGCCCUUUAAUUUUGUCACAAUUUACAACUAUGUCCAGCAAAUCGCUACGGGACUAGCCACCAUGUGUUUCCCAUCUGACCAUUCGAUGCUCCCGAACCUAUUAGACCUAGACGCCUUGGACGAGUUUACUGUAAACGUCACUGUAUACGAUUUCUUCUCGUUUAUUUCUUUGAAAUUCAAAACCGCCGGUUCAACCGAAAUCUUCACAUCAGUAGUCUCCGAAUUUACUUUAACCGAGUAAGACUCAGCUCCUCCCACGGUCGUGACAGUGCGCGUGUACUUGAACACGCCGGAUCCAUCAACGUUAACGGCGAACGACGGAUAGUUUAGAUCAGCGACGAAGUACGAUUUACUCGGAUCGCAAGUGUAAUUACGUCUCGACACACUUGUGAUCUGCGACGGUGUGUAAUUCAACGCAUAGAGGAAGCCUAAGUAAUCCACCGUCGUUAGAUCGUAAAUAAGUCCCGGAUUGAUCGCCGUCGUCGGCGACAUGUGUCAUGUGCCAUGCUCAAACGGCGUUGAAGGUUUCCCCGUCGUGACGUCGAGGAUCGGUUUGCCGUCGUUGUAAGUUUUGUAAGCGGUGGUCAUGAGAGCCGAUCUGAUCGCCGCCGGGCUCCACUCCGGAUGCACGGACUUGAGAAGCACAGCUAAACC